UUGUAAUUGGAAUGAUAGAAAUUUAAACCCUUUUUAAAGUAUCAAUUGGAGGGCAAGUCUGGUGCCAGCAGCCGCGGUAAUUCCAGCUCCAAUAGCGUAUAUUAAAAUUGUUGCAGUUAAAAAGCUCGUAGUUGAAGUUCUGCUGAAAGUAACCGGUCUGCUUUUAAUAAAAGUGGUAUCUUGGUAUGUAUUUAGCAAUGAUGUCCUUUGAAGUGUUUUUUACUUUAUUGUAAUAAAGCAUAUUCAGGACUUUUACUUUGAGAAAAUUAGAGUGUUUCUAGCAGGCUGACGCUUUGAAUACUGCAGCAUGGAAUAAUAAGAUAGGAUUUUAGUUCUACAUUAUUGGUUUUAAGAGCUAAAUUAAUGAUUGAUAGGGACAGUUGGGGGCAUUUGUAUUUAACUGUCAGAGGUGAAAUUCUUAGAUUUGUUAAAGACAAACUACUGCGAAAGCAUUUGCCAAAGAUGUUUUCAUUAAUCAAGAACGAAAGUUAGGGGAUCGAAGACGAUCAGAUACCGUCGUAGUCUUAACUAUAAACUAUGCCGACUAGAGAUUGGAGGUCG
rnacentral:rRNA from 2 species